GACGUAGGGCGCGAGCGUUGUCCGGAUUUAUUGGGCGUAAAGAGCUCGUAGGCGGUUUGUCGCGUCUGCCGUGAAAGUCCGGGGCUCAACUCCGGAUCUGCGGUGGGUACGGGCAGACUAGAGUGAUGUAGGGGAGACUGGAAUUCCUGGUGUAGCGGUGAAAUGCGCAGAUAUCAGGAGGAACACCGGUGGCGAAGGCGGGUCUCUGGGCUGUAACUGACGCUGAGGAGCGAAAGCGUGGGUAGCGAACAGG
rnacentral:rRNA from 1 species